UGGGAAAUAACUCGUUGUCUAUCUCGAGGCGGACGGGUGAGUAACACGUAGGCAACGCUACCCUACUAGACUGGGAUAACUACCGGAAACGGUAGCUAAUACCGGAUAAUUCCUUGAUCCACCUGGGUUUGGGAUGAAAGGCGGAGCAAUCUGCUGCUAGAGGAUGGGCCUGCGGCGCAUUAGCUAGUUGGUGGGGUAACGGCCUACCAAGGCGACGAUGCGUAGCCGACCUGAGAGGGUGAACGGCCACACUGGGAAUGAGACACGGCCCAGACUCCUACGGGAGGCAGCAGUAGGGAAUCUUCCGCAAUGGGCGAAAGCCUGACGGAGCAACGCCGCGUGAGUGAUGAAGGUUUUCGGAUCGUAAAGCUCUGUUGCCAGGGAAGAACGUCCGGUAGAGUAACUGCUGCCGGAGUGACGGUACCUGAGAAGAAAGCCCCGGCUAACUACGUGCCAGCAGCCGCGGUAAUACGUAGGGGGCAAGCGUUGUCCGGAAUUAUUGGGCGUAAAGCGCGCGCAGGCGGCUGCUUAAGUCUGGUGUUUAAACCUUGGGCUCAACCUGGGGUCGCACUGGAAACUGGGCAGCUUGAGUACAGAAGAGGAAAGUGGAAUUCCACGUGUAGCGGUGAAAUGCGUAGAGAUGUGGAGGAACACCAGUGGCGAAGGCGACUUUCUGGGCUGUAACUGACGCUGAGGCGCGAAAGCGUGGGGAGCAAACAGGAUUAGAUACCCUGGUAGUCCACGCCGUAAACGAUGAGUGCUAGGUGUUAGGGGUUUCGAUACCCUUGGUGCCGAAGUUAACACAGUAAGCACUCCGCCUGGGGAGUACGGUCGCAAGACUGAAACUCAAAGGAAUUGACGGGGACCCGCACAAGCAGUGGAGUAUGUGGUUUAAUUCGAAGCAACGCGAAGAACCUUACCAGGUCUUGACAUCCAACUAACGAAGCAGAGAUGCAUUAGUGCCCUUCGGGAAAGUUGAGACAGUGUGCAUGCUGUCGUCAGCUCGUGUCGUGAGAUGUAGGAUAGUCCGCACGAGCGCAAACCUUGACUUUAGUUGCAGCAGGUGAGCUGCACUCUAGAUGACUGCCGUGACAACCGAGAGUGGGAUGACGCAAUCAUCAUGCCCAUAUGACCUGGCCUACACACCCACAACAAUGGCCGGUACAACGGGAAGCGAAACCGCGAGGUGGAGCCAAUCCCAGCAAAGCCGGUCUCAGUUCGGAUUGCAGGCUGCAACUCGCCUGCAUGAAGUCGGAAUUGCUAGUAUCCGUGGAUCUGAAGUCAGACAUGCGUU
rnacentral:rRNA from 1 species